GACGAACGCUGGCGGCGUGCUUAACACAUGCAAGUCGAGCGGUAAGGCCCUUUCGGGGGUACACGAGCGGCGAACGGGUGAGUAACACGUGGGUGACCUGCCCUCAGCUCUGGGAUAAGCCUGGGAAACCGGGUCUAAUACUGGAUAUGACUCCAUGACGCAUGUUGUGGGGUGGAAAGCCUUGUGCGGCUGAGGAUGGGCCCGCGGCCUAUCAGCUUGUUGGUGGGGUGANGGCCUACCAAGGCGACGACGGGUAGCCGGCCUGAGAGGGCGACCGGCCACACUGGGACUGAGACACGGCCCAGACUCCUACGGGAGGCAGCAGCGGGGAAUCUUGCGCAAUGGGCGAAAGCCUGACGCAGCGACGCCGCGUGAGGGAUGACGGCCU
rnacentral:rRNA from 1 species